AGAGCGAACGCUGGCGGCAGGCUUAACACAUGCAAGUCGAGCCGGCUGGAAAAGGGUAGCUUCGGCCUCCGGUCGGGGACGAGCCCGCGGCGGAUUAGCUUGUUGGUGAGGUAAAGGCUCACCAAGGCGACGAUCCGUAGCUGGUCUGAGAGGACGAUCAGCCACACUGGGACUGAGACACGGCCCAGACUCCUACGGGAGGCAGCAGUAGGGAAUCUUGCGCAAUGGGCGAAAGCCUGACGCAGCGACGCCGCGUGAGGGAAGAAGGCCUUCGGGUUGUAAACCUCUUUCAGGAGGGACGAAGCCACUCGGGUUAAUAGCCCAGAGGGUGACGGUACCUCAGAAGAAGCCCCGGCUAACUACGCGCCAGCAGCCGC
rnacentral:rRNA from 1 species